UUUGCAUAGAAUGUUAUCAGCGGAAUUAGUAGUCUCCGGAGAGGCUGCCACUUGUCAGCGAGCUUCACCUGGCCAGGUCCGCCGUGAUGUAGCUCCCCAAUCAAUGACUACUCUCUAGACCUUCCAGAUAGACUAGCAAAUCUUCUCCGCCCAUGGGCAACCAGUAGAGCCAGAGGCCUUCCCCCUUUGCUCUUUCGUCUCUAGGCACUCUGUCAGGCACUCCAAGGUGUGAAGUGACAAGGGGGAGAAGGAAGAGAUUUCAGAGAACGAACACAUCCAGAGAGACAGGCAAGAGAUGGUGAGUGGGGAUGUCUUGCCUACUGAUAUCCUCAGGAAAGUGGGAAAGAGGUACCUGGCCGUGCUCUGCCAAUGCCCUGAAGCAGUCCGCACCAGGGGCUCCCUUGUGCCUACCUAGCCUUUCCCAGGGUGUGCUCAAAUCCUGUGGCCACUAGGUGUCCUAGGUCACAAUGGAGGGCCCUGUGUCAUCUGCCUGUUGGGCUGGAUCUCUGCCAUUGUCUGAGUCUUGUCACCAGGCCCAUCAUAAGCUCCGCCCACUCUUCCUGUGGAGGUACUGUCUCCAUGGUGAUGGCAAAGAAGCCUGAGUUCCGCCCACCUGGCCUUCACUUCACCUACCUGGCCUGCUGACCCUCACUCAGACCUCUGUGUUGAUCAAAAUGAAUGUCCGCCAGUGGCCAGGUGUCAGCAUCUGGGAUAAAGGAUUCGGGACCUUGCCUGAGGCAGAAGGCAGCCUAGGUCUGCGGGUACUUGGAAGUCUUGUGAGUUGUGACACUGCUGCCAGUGACAGAUGGUAACUCCCACACUCACAUAUCCCCUGGUGGCAGAAGGAUAGUGAUGGGCGGAGAAACAUGCCUCCGGAGCACACGUUCAAUGCGGCACCAGCCAAAGGCCAGGGCCAGGAGUGGACAUCGUGGAGCUUAAUUGCAAGCCAGUGAAAGGCCCAAGGAUUUCUCCUAUAUGUGGCAAACAGGUCAUCCGUGUCCCCACGUCCAUAAACCAUUGGACUGCAGGGCCAGACUGCCAGGAUUUCGGCCUUGCCAUCGGAGCCCGUCCACAUACACAGCGUUGCACCGGAGGCAGGGACAUGUAGACAGCAAAAACUUGGAAAAUGGCAUCAUCUCUUCAAUUUCCCUAGCGUCGGCCUUUUUCAGCGGCAUGCUUUGUUUCCUAGUAGGAUAAGGCACUGACGGAGAAAGGCAUGAGUAUGUGUGUAGGAAAGGUGUGUGCUGAAAGGGUGACGACAUUGAGACCAUGUUGGGAUCCUUAGUCCCAGGAAAGGCCCCUGGCAGGUGUGGGUCAAUGUUCUCUGCUCAUCCGAGUUGGCGGGCGAGGUUUUCACCAAACAAAGCAGCAGUGGAAUUAUUCGUCGCCGGAGAGGUUGCAUCUGUCCACAAGCUCCACCUGGCCAGGGUCCACCCCUAUUGUAUUGCCCAUGUCAAUCAAGAGAAGCUAAGACCUUCCAGAGAGACUACCUGCUAUUGUCUACCCACCGGGAAGCGGUCCAGCCAGAAGCCUCCCCCGUUUCAUCUCCAGGCUCUCUGUCAGGCCCCUCAUACUUGUGAUGUGUCUCAGGGGUAGAAGGAAGAGAUUUCUCUGAAUGAACACAUACAGAGAGGGGCCAUAGAUGCUGAGGAAGGGCGCCUUGUCUACUGAUAUCGUAGCGUAAGUGGAAAAGAGGUACCUGCCUGCUGUCCCAGUGUGUCGAACGUGUCCACAUCAGGGGUUGGCUACUGUGAAAUUAUUCCCUGGUGCCCUCGAUUUUCUGGCCAAAGACACGAGGGGCCGUUGUGUGUCCAUGGGUACAAUGGGGGGCUCUGCAGAACUGGCCGGUUAGGCUGGACUUCUCCUAUUGGCUCAGUGUUUGUGACUCGUCCCCGUCAGAAGUUCUGCCCAGCCUUCUGGUGGCUGUCUCCAUGGGGAUUGGGAAACAAGCCCUAGGCCCCGCACUCAGCCUUCACCUGGCCUACCUGGCCUCUUUCCCCUCAUCUAGACUGCUCUGUGCAUGAAAGAAAGGAUGUCGGCCACUGACCAAACAUCCUCAUUUCCUUGGAAGGAUUAGGCUCCUUGCCUGGGCAGAAGACAGCCAAGGUCAGCCUGAGCCUAGACACCUAGUGACCUGUGACACUGCAGCCAGCGAUAGAUGUUGAUGUCCACGCUCAGGUAUCCGCAGUUGACGGAUUCAGAGUGGUCAGAGGAGAAGUGUAACUAGAGAUCACACACUCAUGAGGGUACGGGCCAAAGGUCAGGGAAAAUAGCUGAGGUCGUGGAGCUCUAGCGGAGCCAGUCUAGGGCCCAGGCCUCCCUGCUGUACGUGGCAAAGAGGUGCCACCCUCUGCAGAGUAUGCUGCCACCCGCAGACUCUGGACUGCUGGGGCCCUGGAUGCCCGGAUUGCGGCCUUGUGUUUGGAGAAGUGACGUGCAUGCAGUGUGCCACUGGGGGCUGUGGCCCAGCAGAAGCAAAAUCUUGAAAAUGGGGGCUUCAGUUGACUUUGCCUGUUCUCUCCCUUGGCUGAGUGCCAUCCUGUGUUUCCUAGGAGGAGAAGGCAUUCGUGGAGAGAGGCAGAUUCCAUGUGUGCAGGCAAAGUGUGUGCUGACAUGAUGAGACCCUGGAGACCAGGGUGGACGCUUCAGACCCAGGAUAGACCUCUGGCAGGCACUCUGUCAGGCACUCCAAGCUGUGAAGUGACUCAGGGAGAGAAGGAAGAGAUUUCAGAGAAUGAACACAUACAGAGAGAGAGGCAAGAGAUGGUGAGUGGGGAUGUCUUGCGUACUGAUAUCCUGAGGAAAGUGGGAAAAUUGGACCCUGGCCUGCUCUGCCAAUGCCGUGAAGCAGUCUGCACCAGGGGCUCCCUUGUGCCUGCAUAGCCUUUCCCAGGGUGUGCUCAAAUCCUUUGGCCACUAGGUGUCCUAGGUCACAAUGGAGGACCCUGUGUCAUCUGCCUGGCGGACUGGAUCUCUGCCAUUGGCUAAGUCUUGUCACCAGGCCCAUCAUAAGCUCUGCCCACUCUUCCGGUGGGGAGACUCUCUCCAUGGUGAUGGCAAAGAAACCUUAGUCCCACCCACCUGGCCUUGACUUCACCUACCUGGCCUGCUGACCCUCACCCAGACCUCUGUGUGGAUGAAAAUGAAUGUCCACCAAUGGCCCGGUGUCAGCGUCUGGUAUAAAGGAUUCGGGACCUUUCCUGAGGCAGAAGGCAGCCUACGUCUGCGGGUACCUGGAAGUCUAGUGACUUGUGAUGCUGCUGCCAGUGAGAAAUGGUGACUCCCACACUCACAUAUCCCCUGGUGGGGGAAUGAUAGUGAUGGGUGGAGAAACAUGGCUCCGGAGCACAUGUUCAGUGGGGCACCGGCCAAAUGCCAGGGCCAGGAGUGGACGUCGUGGAUCUGCAUGGCAUGCCAGUGAAGGGCCCAAGGAUUUCUCCAAUGAGGCAAAAUGCAGAUCAAGGAAGGAACACAAAGAUAAAGCAGCUGAAGAAAUUAAAAAGGUUACUCAAGAACAGAGUUAAAAAUUUAAUAAGCUGCAAGAAACCAUAGAGAGACUGCAAUCAGAGAUUCAGAAGAUUAACAAUAAAAUUACAGAGUCAGAAAACUCAAUAGAAAGUAAGAAGAGCACAAUUGAGGAAUUGGAAGGCAGAAUUACUGAGAUUGAAGAUCAAACUCUUGGGACUAAUAUAUUUGAAGAGAAAGCAGAUAAAAGAAUUUUAAAUGAAGAAAUCCAAAGAAUCAUGUAGGACUUUAUCAAGAGAAAUAACUAUGAGUGAUUGCAGUACCAGAACAGGGAGGGCUAACAGAAAAUACAGAGGGAACUGUUGAAGAUUUGUUGGCAGAACUUCCCUGAUAUCAUGAAAGAUGCUCAUCGAAUUCCACAUAAGGUAGAUCUCAAAAGAAAGUGACCGAGACACAUAAUAAUCAAACUUGCCAAAAUCAAAUAUAAAGAGAAUUUUAAGAGAGGCUAGGGAUAAAGGAAGUCACCAACAAAGGAGAGUAAAUAAUAAAAAACUUGGACUACUCAGCAGAAAUCAUGCAGGCAAGAAGGCAAAGGGAUGACUUACACAAAAUAUUGAAGGAAAAAAAUUGCCAGCCAGGAAUCAAACCAUAACCGUGGCCCUCUGGCCUUCGGGCCCUCUGGCCUUAGCCCUCUAACUCUAGCCCCUAAGCCCUGAGCCCCAAAGCCCCUAAGACCCUAAGCCCUUAGGUCCUAACCCCCAAGGCCCUAAACUCUAACCCUAAUCCAAACCCUAACCCCUAUUCCCUAAACUCUACAACCUAAACACCUACACCCCAAAACACUACACAUCAAAACCCUACACACUAAACCCUAUACUCUAAGCCUCAAACCCUAAACCCAAACCUCAAAUCCCAAACCCCAAACCCUAAACCUAACCGUAAACCCUAAACCCUAACACCUAACCCUAACCCCUAACCACCCUAACCCUAAUGACCCUAACCCUCGAACCCUAACCCUCUAACGCUAACAUGAAACCCUAAUCCGAAACCCUAACCCUCUAACUCUAACCUCUAACCCUCUAACCCUAGCCCUAAUCCUAACCCCAACCUCCAAACCUAACCCCAAACCCUAAACCUCAAAUCCCUAGCCCUAAACCUAAGAAUGAGCCUAAGCCUAACCCUAUCACUUAACUCUAAACCCUAAACCAUAACA